rnacentral:rRNA from 1 species
GGGCCCGCACAAGCGGUGGAGCAUGUGGUUUAAUUCGAUGAUACGCGAGGAACCUUACCAAGACUUAAAUGGGAAUUGACGGAUCUGGAAACAGAUUUUUCUACGGACAAUUUUCAAGGUGCUGCAUGGUUGUCGUCAGCUCGUGCCGUGAGGUGUUAGGUUAAGUCCUGCAACGAGCGCAACCCCUGCCAACAGUUGCCAUCAUUCAGUUGGGGACUCUGUUGGGACUGCCCGCGCAAGCGGCGAGGAAGGUGGGGAUGACGUCAAAUCAUCACGGCCCUUACGUCUUGGGCCACACACGUGCUACAAUGGUCGGUACAGAGGGCAGCCACUAAGUGAUUAGGAGCGAAUCUCUAAAAGCCGGUCUCAGUUCGGAUUGGAGUCUGCAACUCGACUCUAUGAAGCUGGAAUCGCUAGUAAUCGCGCAUCAGCCAUGGCG